rnacentral:sRNA from 1 species
GAAACUUCCUACUGCACUGCUCCCCUGAGUCACCUGACCCUGUGCCCCGGCACACUGCUGUCUCAGGGCUGUCCUUUCCCUGAUGUCAGGGUUUGAAGAAAAAGGGAAGUGAAGCCAUGCUGAGAGACGCUCCAUAACUCCUGCAGGGAGAGGCGGGGAGGGCUCAGGGUACCUGGGAGCCGGCAGGACAGCGGUGGGAUUUGGGGGUCCCAGGUCUUCCGGGGUGGGGGCAGCCACUCACCAGGAGUGAGGAGUCGGCGCGAGGAGUGGAGGAGGGAAGGGUGGUGGCAGCUGGGGAGCCAGUGUCAGCACUGCAGAGCCAGAAGUGGAGCAUGUCCAUGCAGAGCUGGGCAAACCUCCAUCAUCACUUGCCUGGUGACCCUGGGCACAUUCCCUCCCAUCACUGGAGGCUCAGGCUGCUCCUGUGGUGCCUGGGGCUGGAGCUGAGCACUGGGUACCUCCCUUCCCGGGGAGGGCUUGCCUGGCCUCUCAUGGUACCCCCAUCUUUCCCCAGCGCCGGCAUUGGCCGCACAGGCACCAUCAUUGUCAUCGACAUGCUCAUGGAGAACAUCUCCACCAAGGGCCUGGACUGUGACAUUGACAUCCAGAAGACCAUCCAGAUGGUGCGGGCGCAGCGCUCGGGCAUGGUGCAGACGGAGGCGCAGUACAAGUUCAUCUACGUGGCCAUCGCCCAGUUCAUUGAAACCACCAAGAAGAAGCUGGAGGUCCUGCAGUCACAGAAGGGCCAGGAGUCGGAGUACGGGAACAUCACCUACCCCCCAGCCAUGAAGAAUG